CCAUGUAUAGUAAUAUUUUAAAAUGGGUCUAGUGACCGGGUGGAUUAAGGCGUCGGUUGUGACGUGCACCGUCACCGGUUCGAAUCCCGGUCAUGGKUGGCAUCGCUUUCCAGAAAGUUCAUACUGUCUGGAAAGGAAAGGCCGCCGCCCACCACCCAGACAUGACAAAAACCUACAGGUGCCCAUUCGAAAUUCUGUCAAAAACAUUCACGAGUACCAAAACCACAGUUCCCUCCCGAAAAAUUUACAGGCUAAUAGCCCUUGUUGAAGCCUCAACCCCCAAUAAAAAAAAUAAAAAAUACUUUAUAAUAUUUAUAUAUUUAUAUUAAAAUAUUUUAUAAUAUAACAAUAUUUUCGUAUAGCAAGAUUGAUAUUAUAAAAUCACUCAGUACCCAUACUCUACAGUUAACAACAAUGGCAAUUUAGCUUUUACUUAACGGCUACUAAUUAUUGACGUUGAAGCAUGACAACGAGCGCGCCGAAUUUUCAUUUAACAAAGAUCACAAAUUAGAAUAAAAAGUAGUACUCAAUAAUAUUGUAUUCAUUAUUAAAAAUGUAUUUUAUAUAGGUACCGUCCAAUGUUCAAGUAUUUUAAAAAAGUAUUCAAUAUAUUAUGGAAAAAAGUAUUUGAAUCAGGCGUGGCUUCAGAGAAGUCUCUGAGGGGAGRUAUUUUUUUUGUCGCUAUAACUAAAUUGCAAAGGGGGCCUAGAGAAUAUCCUAACCUAGAACGUACGUUUAGCAAGCAUAAACCUGUUAAACGAUCCUCAUUUAUCUUUGAUCGAAGCCAAGUUUUAACUCUGCUUAUAAAGUUGAAAAACUUCUCUCAGCCGAUGCAACACUAACUGGGAGUGUUGCUAAUAUAUUUUGCAAAUACAAUCUUAUGGUUGGAAGUAUUUCAGUAUCAUAUUUUGUUAAGAGGACGGUAUACCCGCACGUGUUGUCUUCGUCUUAACAAGAUUAUCCUCAAGUGGUACAAAAAAACUCAAGUAUUCGAAAAUAUAGUCUUCAAGUUAAGGUGUUUUAAAAUUCAGGAAAUCAAAAUUCAUGUAUAAGUAUAAUUUAAGUAUAAAAAUAGGGUAGGCAUCAUGUUUAAAAAAUCACUCUGUAUUUAAAUAUGCUAUAUUUUUAAUGGACGAACUUAUAACAUACGUAAAUCUUAUCACUCUGCUUUCCACACAAUUAUUCAAAUUCAAUACUUAUUUUUUUUUAUCAAUAUAUUAUUGAUAAUUAC